rnacentral:snoRNA from 1 species
AACCCAUGGUGAGGGCACCUUCUUAGUAAGUCUUUGUAUCUCUCCUAUGCAUCGUAAAGUGUUUCUAAAUCCAUUGCACAAAAGAAGAGAUAUCAUUAUGCAAUU